CUACGGGUGGCUGCAGUGAGGAAUAUUGCACAAUGGGGGGAACCCUGAUGCAGCAACGCCGCGUGGAGGAUGACGCAUUUCGGUGUGUAAACUCCUUUUAUAUGUCAAGAAAAUGACGGUAGCAUAUGAAUAAGCGCCGGCUAACUCCGUGCCAGCAGCCGCGGUAAUACGGAGGGCGCAAGCGUUACUCGGAAUCACUGGGCGUAAAGGACGCGUAGGCGGGUUGAAAAGUCAGGUGUGAAAGCCUACAGCUUAACUGUAGAACUGCACUUGAAACUCUCAAUCUAGAGUAUGGGAGGGGCAGAUGGAAUUAGUGGUGUAGGGGUAAAAUCCGUAGAUAUCACUAGGAAUACCUAAAGCGAAGGCGAUCUGCUGGAACAUUACUGACGCUAAGGCGUGAAAGCGGGGGAGCAAACAGGAUUAGAUACCCUUGUAGUC
rnacentral:rRNA from 1 species